rnacentral:rRNA from 1 species
AUUGAACGCUGGCGGCAUGCCUUACACAUGCAAGUCGAACGGCAGCACGGGAGCAAUCCUGGUGGCGAGUGGCGAAUGGGUGAGUAAUAUAUCGGAACGUGCCCAGUAGUGGGGGAUAACUGCUCGAAAGAGCAGCUAAUACCGCAUACGACCUGAGGGUGAAAGGGGGGGAUCGCAAGACCUCUCGCUAUUGGAGCGGCCGAUAUCAGAUUAGCUAGUUGGUGGGGGAAAGGCCUACCAAGGCAACGAUCUGUAGUUGGUCUGAGAGGACGACCAGCCACACUGGGACUGAGACACGGCCCAGACUCCUACGGGAGGCAGCAGUGGGGAAUUUUGGACAAUGGGCGCAAGCCUGAUCCAGCAAUGCCGCGUGCAGGAAGAAGGCCUUCGGGUUGUAAAGCACUUUUGUCCGGAAAGAAAUGGCUCUGGUUAAUACCUGGGGUCGAUGACGGUACCGGAAGAAUAAGGACCGGCUAACUACGUGCCAGCCGCCGCGGUAACAC